ACAACCCAAUCUGCUAAUCUCCGAUACCGCUUUGUACUUACGAUCUUGUAUCCACUGAUUGUCUUGUUAGAUUAACCCAAUAAAUUUCAUUUACUCCGCAUACUCAAUCCUAUAGACACCCUUUUAAUUCUUCAAUCACAGACGUAACUCGAUUUCACAAAACAGUCAAGAGUAAUCAAACCCACUUCAUUAAAAAAUCCUGAUUCACCAUUACAACAC
rnacentral:lncRNA from 1 species